ensembl:lncRNA
UUUUAUCUUUGUGUUGUUUAAUAUACAUAUGCUGUAGGCUCAGCUGUAUAAACCAAACAACAUAUAUAGUGCUAUGGUAUUAGCAGUUUGAAUGUGAUCAUAUGAGAUGGAACUUUAUCUUCAGUGAGUGCACUUCCAAUCAAUAGCCCAGCUGCUCUAAGAGGCAGGAUGCCUGAUAGAUUGACUUUUUCUUGUAUGUCUCUCUUCCCGUCGUCCAACCACCGCAAACUACAUACUUAUCAUCAUUCACCUAUUCAUAGAUCAAGAUCAGCCGGUUUGAAGGACGACCCUGCCUUACCACUAAGCCACACUUGCCGAGGGAGGGGAAGAGCGGCAUUUUUAUUAAAUAUGUUCAUGAACGUCCUAUGCUGCAUUCUCUCUAGAGUCCAUCAGUGGGCGACUCCUCUGAGACAAGGACUAAAAUUGCUGUGUGGUCUUCAUGUAAGUCCAAUGUAAAAAUGACAAAGGUGAAAUUAUUUGAGGUGAUUAAUUCAUGAAUUAUCAAUGAAUAGAUUUAUACACAUGUGCUUAGGACAGAGAGAGUUUGAUUUUUUUUUCCAUCAGUGAUUCAACCAAUUGAGUUGCACAUGUUUUUACAAAACAGCAACACGAAAGCUCGAUUGUUCAAACCAAGACGAUGAACUUUAACAAUCCUAUCAACCGAGACUGGGUCCACCAGUUCCGGUCUUGUCUUUCACAAUAAAAGCACUAGGCAUAUAAUAUUUACAGAAGUAGAAGCCAGAUAUGAAACAUAUUGUGUUGUCCAUUUGUUUUCACCAUUCAGCUAACACUGCCUUCUAAUGUAACAGGUUAUGACGUGCACAUCAAAAACUAUGGCAACACAGAAGGGUCCUGUGGGACCGAGACUUCGUUUAAUUUGAAAAUCUAUUCAGCGUAGACUCAUUGGUUGCCUGCAUAGAUAUACAAGGUAAAAAGUGGGAUGUUAUGGAAGCAGAUUACAAAUUAUCUGUCAGCACAAAUCAUCAUCGGAGAGACAUAAUUGCCUUUAAUUAAUGUUUCAUACUCAGAAAACUACUCCACAUAUAUUAUGGAUGCAUGGAGACACGCACGUAUAGGUGACAUACAUUUAACUAUAGCCGGCAUUCGUCUGACAACCUGAAUGAAAACAAUUAGCUCAAUGGUGCAGAAGACCGUCUGGGUUGUGAGAGCGCUGCUGGCAAACACAAGUCCAUGACACGCUUUGCAUUAAAGCAACGUUCUUCUAAAAAACUUAGUGAAGCCAGAUUGUUUCGCUGCCCUGGCUGGGUGGGUUAGACGCAUGCACAUUCAUGCACACAUGCACAGCAGGCGUGUGUCUAAACACUGGAAGGUUAUUUGAAUGUGUUUGUACUCUGAAGGAUACACCACUACACCUGAUUGAUUAUGUGCACCGCGGUGGGAGCUUUGCACAACAUACCUGGCAGCUAGUGAGACAUCUGUUGCACCCACUUACAUCACUGACAGUGUAGCGAGAGAGAAGAUGCUUUACACUUCUGAAUUUUACACCUUUUUGAAUGAGGACACUUACUUCAGAUCUGUUCUUCAUUUUGGUCUUAACUAUACAUCUGUAUAGUAGUGUAUGUAGCUUGUAUAGUUGUGAUCUGCCCACAGAUGGGAAAGGUGUUUCAAACCUCCUUAGUGGGGCGACUGUGGAUCAGCGGAGAGAAGGCUCGUCUUUCAAACGGUGGUUCCAUUCCACGGCAGCGCUAGUGCCCAUGUCGAUGGGUCAUUGGGCAGGUGCUCAUGUAGCUUUGACUAUGAAUGUUAGUUGCUGAUGGGCGUGUCUCACCAUGUUUGGCAGCUCCUUUCAUCAGUGUAUAAAUGGGUGUGAAUGUUUGAAUGAUGAAAAAAGGGCAAUAUAACUACAGCCCAUUUAGUCAAUGUCCCUGGAAACGCAUUUGGGUAUUUCAUUUUUAUCAAUAUCUCCUCAAACAACUAACCUCUACUUAUGUAGCGAUUUAGUGGAGGAAUUUGAGCAGAGAAUGAAGUCUUUGUAAUUGUGUGUUGUUAUUAGAGCUUCUCAUCUCAUCGUCCUCCCUUUUAGUGCAUGUUUGUGCAUGUGAGCUAACCAGUGGAGCACGCUCGGCACCGAUCGAGGUUAAAGUUGAAAAAGUGAAAAUUAAGUUUUAUAUUUACAAGGAAUGUUGUUACAAAGUGGUGUGUGUGUGUGUGUGUGUGUGUGUGUGUGUGUGUGUGUGUGUGUGUGUGUGUGUGUCACACAGCAGUACACGGUGUGGGUACAGAUUGCACAGGACUGAAGGCACAGGCAUCACCCAAUCUGUGCUGUGAUGUCCGUGUUCCGGAGAGAAAGCGCUCAUCAACUUACUCACUGCCUUCCCUUACUCACACCGGCUCCGGUUUGCCUGCGACAGCAAACCUCUUAUUGAUGUAACGUGUCACAAUAUUGAUUAAAAUUCCUCUACAAAAAAAAAAACACACUGUAAUACUAGACUAAUUGAUAACACGGAAAUUAGCCUGGAUGCUAAAAAAGCUGCUUGUGACUUUAUUGCCUAUAAAUGAUUACCAUGUAGCUGACAAGCAAUUCCAUUAUGAUGAUGAAUCAUGUUAAUGGCUGUUUAAGAAGCUUAUGAGUGAGGUUUGGCCUGGUAUUAGGCUGUAAUAAACCUGUGUAGUCACCCGGGACCGAAGGGGCCGGGCUGGGGACGGAUGAAAGCAAGGCCUUAGACCUCCAGAGCUGGAGCUGGAAUAGCUCAGAGUGUGCAGGGGAAGGAAGGAGGGGGGGGAGUUGGUGCACAGAAGGCUCGGGGAGCAGUCACGCCCUCGGAAAGGCCAGCCGCAUGGAGAGUCCUAUCAGCACCCCAAGGCCACUUAUAAGAGCCGGAGGCAGCUGCAGCAGUGGAACGCUUCCCUGAAGUCGGAGUAAAACAAGCCCCAACACAGACCUUCAGUCAAGGACACGAGAACCUCAGACCUUCAGACACCGCCCCCCACGCACUCCUCAGGGGUUAGAGUGGGAGGAAAGCUGAGAGACAGGGUGACAGAGGCCCAGAAAGCGUGCGCGCGCGCAAGAGAGAGAGAGGGUUGGAGAAUAUAACACUUUGUUUUCCCGCACGAAUGCACAGCAAUGCAGCCGGCUGCCCUCCCCUUAACUUACACACCAAGAGGCAAAGUCAAAGAGAAGAACUCCACGGCAAAGUCACAGCUUAAAAGUCAAGUGGUCUGUGAAGGGCUGCAAGACUGAAAUAAACCAGGCCAGCACAUCUCGCCUUCAGAACAUUCAAACGUUAAAUAACACGAGUAGGAGAAAGAAGAGCGGUGGCGUGGCAGAGCCAGCUGAUGCAGAGUGUGAUGUGGCAGCCAAUCCUCAGGACUACCUGAUUAAACAGCACAAAUGUCAGUCAGUCAUCGUCCAUGCUGCUCAUCCUAUUUACAGGGUCAGAGGGGCACUGCAGUCAAUCCCAGCUAACAUCGAGCAAGUGACAGGGCACAGCCUGCAUUGGUCGCUUGUCAAUCGCAGGGUUGACACAGAGACAAACAACUAUUGACAUUCAACUACCUAGGGGCAAUGUAGUCCCCAACGAACCUAACCCCCAGAGUGUGUCUUUGGACUGUGGGAGGAAGCCGGAGUACCCGGGGAGAACAUGCAGACUGCACACAGAAAGGCCGCUGGACGGCGUCGAACCCUGUGAGACGUCAGUGUUAACCACCACACCACCGCGCUGCCUGAGCAUGUCUCAUUCACCUCGUCAACAUUUAAAUAGUCCUAUUACUGCCUCAGAUUGAGCCCCGGCCAGAGAUCCUUUCAAAGAUGUUAUUUUCUCCUUGCCUAUUUCACCGCAAUUAAUGACAUAUGAUUACUCCUCAUCCUUGAUUACACUAUGUAACAACAACUGAGUCAGUCUCCACUCCGCUUUUGGGGACCUUCUUUGUUGAGGGGGUGUGUUUAUUCAUGGUGGACUUGUCCAUCUUGACUUGGUAAGUAAGUAUUGUAUUACAGCCUCACAGGGACAGAUAAAAUACCUCCUAAGAUCUGGUUUGAAAUUCAAACCCCACGGAUGACGGGAAGGGAUGGAGACCAUGCAUGCUGCAUCACUGAUUUUGAUAUUAAUACCACUUCGAUACCUUGUUUUUAUUAUGGCUAAAUUAAACUGUGUUGCAUUUGUUUUGUAUGAAAGAAAGCCACCCCGAAGAUAAAGUUGUCACAGAAGUAUGUUUCAUUCAAAGUGGAAAACUGCUGCGAUCAACUCAUGACUAGCAUGAAUAUAAAGUGAUUAACCGUUUAACCGAUGAGCUAUAAUCCAGAUCAUGUUGCUUCUAUAAUUCUAUAUGCGCCAUAACAAACAUGUGCAUUCUUGGCAUAAUCUUCCACUUGUGACUUUUAGUUAGUGAGCAGGCACGACAUUUACUUUUUCUACAUUCAUAUUUAGUUUCUUUCCUCAGUCCAGCUCUCGUUACAACAAAACACCAGAGCAGUGUCAGAGUCACACAAAGAAACAAACAGUCUGGUGUCUCGUGACCCCCCCCCUCCUGGUUAAGGUUCCCGUUGUUUACCAGGGGGCUAGCCAGCCACUCUAUCACACAUUAACCCUGGAGCCUGGCUAACGAGCUCCGGCCCGCGCCGCUCUCUAGCCUCAUUAAAGAAACACCAACCGCAGCGGGACAACGCAUGAGGCCGAUAAUAAACUCUCCCCACCUAAUGCUAUGCAUGCAGCCAGCCUUUGACACACACACACAUAUACAAACACACUUUUGCUGCUCAUUCAAUUAGGGAUGUGGAGAGGUUAGGACACGUGUCUGGGGAGGAGAUCGAAUGGAGAUAAAUAAGACAAUUUGCAAAUCCAGGGUUCAAUCCCCAGUGGAGGAAAUAGGAGGUUUUACAAGUGCAUGAUGCUGCUCGGAUCACAUUGGCCCCUGUCUGAAUUGUUGAUGCAAACCCAUGUGCAGCACACCGUUAUACUUUUAAUUGAGCCCUCUGCAUAUUACGGCUAACGGGCUUCUCUUUCGUGCGAAACAAGCAGCUCUCACGUAUUUUUUGUGUCCUCUUCCACUUUCAUCCGUAGUUUUUAUUCACAGCUUCUCUGGCUGCCGUGGCCGUAAAAAAAAAAGGGUGUUCAGUUCCACCGACAGCUGCGAGGGAUCCUAGCAAACAGCACUCCUGAGAUAAGCUAAGCUACAUCGAUGGCAGGAGUCUGACUACUCACUACGUUAAUCUUUUUGCAGAGGGGACCAGGCUAAGCGGCCUUGGAGAUGUUAAAAAUGAGCCUGGCAUUCUAAAUGGCAUAUUCUUCAGAGGUAAUGUGUUUGGUAGUUAAGGCGCCGACAGUGACUUAUUCCCCCUUUGUCUUCAGCGAGCCAAGGCGUCUUCCUGCACUGCGGAUGGGCCAUCUGGUCCGCCUGUUUUUAGCUCUCCAGUAAUACGACUUGACCACCAUUUUUUAAAGGGCUUCUGUAUUUCUGUGGGGAGAAAAAAAAAGAAAUCUGCUCAUUAAGGAGAUGAAAAAGUAUAGGGAUAUAAAGAGAGCUAAUGGGCAAGAUUUAAUGAACUUUUGGAACGUGAAAAUAUUUAAAAAAAACUCAGAGACAGGCAGCGAGGAAGCUGUACGGAAAAAUUGAAGUGAUUUUUAAAGCAAUUUCAAACUCUGACAUCACGGUUGUGAGCUAUUGAUCUGUGCAAGUAUUUUGGAGGUGAUUUUUUGUCUUCUUUCCCCCUGUGCUUCCCCCUAAAAAGUCCUUUGUCAUGUGCAAAAAGGUAUUUAGUUUCACUCUGCCUGGCUCCAAUUGUGUUCCAUCUAAUAUUAGUAUUUGUAUUAAUUAUCUUAAAUUAACUGUCAAAGUGCUUAAUUAACAUUAUUAAUGUUGUGUGACAAAAGCACUGAGUGGUGGCUGAAAAAUGGUAUGAAAUUUCUCAGACCUAACUUCAUAGUAAGUCAUCAAAAGACCUAAUUAGACUAAUUAAUAAAACUUUGGGGAGAGACCAAUUUAGCAAAGACAAAGCCGGGGCACAAGGCCGAGACGCAUGCAGAAAUAUCUUCAUCGUGUGGGCUCAGAGGCGGCCUCUUCGGACUUUGUUGUAUCCCAGCAGUCGCCUUCAGUGACACAUACAGCAAGGGCGCUUGUAGACGCUUGUAGACGUAAAGAGGAAAGUCAGAGUACAGGUUUGACGGGUCAAAGAAACGCAGGACUCUCACCCAGGAGACUGCUGUUCGUGUCCAUCGGGAAAGCAAGUUCUCGUUGAUUUAUUUUCCCUUAACUUCAUUACACGAGUUACAUGAGGUACAAACAUACUUAUUUUACAGAAUACACACUUAUUAUUUUAACAAGUAGCCAUAUCCUGUGUUACCUGAAACAGAACCAAGUAAACCCCAAAGUGUACUGUUAAAAAGAUAGUGGUUUUUUCAUUUAGAAAAAAGACACAAUAUUUCUAAUGAGCAGAAAGUGACCCUAGAGCCUUACAGUUUGAAGCUAAUUGUCAACGACAGAUUCAAGUAUUCAUUUAACUAUUUAAUCAUCUCCCAUUCUACUGGAUGUACUUGCCCAGACAUUUAUGGCUUCCGUUCUCUCUCACCUCUUUUUUGCAUCGAAUCGUCCCUGAAAUGAAGGAUUUCCAUGGAAUUCACCUCAUUGGAUUUUCUUUAUCAGGUCAACGUGUCUGCGUGCCUCAUACCGAUGAUCAAAUAGCUGUAAGACUACUGGCAUUCCCAUCAGCCUCAGCUGUAAUGUGGGUUCAGUGGCAAUUUGCUAGUAUUUGUCGGGAGGUUAGUAAAUGCAACCGUGGUAACGAGCAUCCUCUUUAAAGAUCUUUUUCAAAAUAAAAGACCUUUCGAUAGUUCCUUUUACCGUUUAAACAAUAAAACCAGAAAAGGACACACCAAAAAAAACAAAUAUGAGAAGACGGCCAAAAUUGACUUGAUCCUUUUUUGUUUUUUUGCAUUCAUUUUAGUUCCACCUCGAAGCCAGAUUUUACGGCUGCUUCUCGAUUGCACAGAGGCCCCACAGAUUUAGAAACAUUUUAUUUCCCAAAAAACCCAUUGGUAAACAUUCAAUUAAGUAAAGGUAUCCCCAGUUACUGGGUCAGUUAAAUGGAUGCAUCAGUAGCUACAGAACGGGCUCACUAAUACAAGCGUCACACUUUGGCACCAACAAAGCGCUCAGGACCAGGGAGCUGCAGAGAUGGAAUGUGCUUUAGCCAGAUGUUAGUGGACAAUGAUGUCAAUACUUUGUCACAUUAUUUCAAGAUUGAAUCAAAGGCCUGAUUGAUGUUACAAGAAGACACUGCCAGAACUUAUAUAAUCUCUUUCAUCUACUUGAAAAUUGGUCCAAAAUAGAAUGUGAAAUGAUGCUAACACCACCAUGUUUCACUGUUGGGGUGGUGUGCUCAGGGUGAUGGGCAGUGGUUGUGUCUCCCACGUGUUUUUUUCUUAAACUCCAAGCGGGAUUUCUUUCAACAGCGGCUUUUUCUUUUUGUCACUCUUCCAUUAAGACCAGAUUUGUGGAGUACACGACCAAUAGUCCUGUGGACCAAUUCUCUACCUCUGCGGUGGAUCUUUGCAGCUCACCCAGAGUUACCAUGGGCUUAUUGGUUGCUGCUCUAUUAAGGACAUCACACCACAGAAAGGUGAAGACACGGGCAGGAGAAGCCACGGGAAAUCAAGCGAGAGGGCGGCAAGACAACGGACGAGCAGGCAGGGUGCAACGAGGAGAGUAACAAAACGGACUGGACACCUCACCCAGGAAAGGAACGGAACCGGAAACAAGAAGAAAGGGCAAGAC